rnacentral:rRNA from 1 species
UACAGAGGGUGCAAGCGUUGUUCGGAAUUAUUGGGCGUAAAGGGCGCGUAGGCGGUGCGGUAAGUCACCUGUGAAACCUCUGGGCUUAACUCAGAGCCUGCAGGCGAAACUGCCGUGCUUGAGUGUGGGAGAGGUGCGUGGAAUUCCCGGUGUAGCGGUGAAAUGCGCAGAUAUCAGGAGAACACCGGUGGCGAAGGCGGGUCUCUGGGCCGAAACUGACGCUGGAGGAGCGAAAGCGUGGGGAGCAAACAGG